UACCAUCUACCAGAAUUCGUCUUCGUCGUCACCGUCCACCUCAAGGGAAGUAUGACUUGUUCAACUUUUCACAUUCGUCCCUCCGCAAUGUCGUUGAGCGUGCUUUUGGGGUGCUCAAGCAGAAAUGGCGCAUAUUGAAAGGGGUCCCAAGUUUCUCACCUCGUAUGCAAAAGCAUAUCAUCAUUGCUUGCAUGGCAUUGCACAACUUCAUUCGUGAUAGCAAGUUGAGUGAUAAAUUUUUUGAUAAAUGUGAUGCCGAUGAUGAGUAUGUACCUCCAGUGCUACGACGGGAAGUAGCACCAACACAAGCGGAUCCCGUUGAAGAGGAGGAGAACGAAGAUACCAUGGAUACUAUUCGUAGUAGGAUAGCCGAUGCUUGUCUUGCGAUAGCAACAUAGGUUAGCUAUCUUGAUGGAGGUCAUCAUCAUGCGAACCAUAUGUAUAUUCUAUGGUGCAUGCCUUUUGUAAUAUAAUUAUGGGGUCAAUAUCUAUAUAUAUAUAAUAUAGUAUGCAACUUGAAAGUAUAAUCGUUGAAUUCGUAUGUGUUAGCUGUGAAUCAUCUAAAUUGUCAUUAUUUUCCUUUGCAAAACGGUCGUUCUAUUGCCUACCAAUGUAUAUAUCACUAUUUUACGGUUAAGUUGCACAUAAAAAUAUUGAAUUAUUGUCCAGGGUCAUUAUAGACAAUUCACAGUCAAAUCUGCAGUUUCACAGCUGUUUCAGCCAAACGACUUCCAGCUUUUCCACAGCUCAGAGCUCACAGCAGCUUUUACAAAAUCUGCAGCUCAACCAAACACAGCUAAGAGUGAUAGAUUACGAAUUACAUAGUCUGGUUUGUUCAUAUGAGUGUUAACUCCUAAGGUUUUUAAAAAGGUAUAACAUAACAACACAUGUCGUCAUUCAUUAUAUUCUUAUGUGAGAUGCUCACUUGGUGAUUUGGUGUUCAUUUUCAGGGAAAUACUAUCUUGUGGACUCUGGGUAUGCAAACCGAAUAGGAUAUCUUGCUCCUUUUAAGGGGAGUACGUACCAUCUACCAGAAUUCCGUCUUCGUCGUCACCGUCCACCUCAAGGGAAGUAUGAGUUGUUCAACUUUUCACAUUCGUCCCUCCGCAAUGUCGUUGAGCGUGCUUUUGGGGUGCUCAAGCAGAAAUGGCGCAUAUUGAAAGGGGUCCCAAGUUUCUCACCUCGUAUGCAAAAGCAUAUCAUCAUUGCUUGCAUGGCAUUGCACAACUUCAUUCGUGAUAGCAAGUUGAGUGAUAAAUUUUUUGAUAAAUGUGAUGCCGAUGAUGAGUAUGUACCUCCAGUGCUACGACGGGAAGUAGCAUCAACACAAGCGGAUCCCGUUGAAGAGGAGGAGAACGAAGAUACCAUGGAUACUAUUCGUAGUAGGAUAGCCGAUGCUUGUCUUGCGAUAGCAACAUAGGUUAGCUAUCUUGAUGGUGGUCAUCAUCAUGCGAACCAUAUGUAUAUUCUAUGGUGCAUGCCUUUUGUAAUAUAAUUAUGGGGUCAAUAUCUAUUUAUAUAUAAUAUAGUAUGCAACUUGAAAGUAUAAUUGUUGAAUUCGUAUGUGUUAGCUGUGAAUCAUCUAAAUUGUCAUUAUUUUCCUUUGCAAAACGGUCGUUCUAUUGCCUACCAAUGUAUAUAUCACUAUUUUACG
rnacentral:lncRNA from 1 species